GUGAGGAAUAUUGCGCAAUGGAGGCAACUCUGACGCAGCCAUGCCGCGUGCAGGAAGAAGGCGCUACGCGUUGUAAACUGCUUUUAACCGGGAAGAAACCCCAGGACGUGUCCUGGGUUGACGGUACCGGAGGAAUAAGCACCGGCUAACUUCGUGCCAGCAGCCGCGGUAAUACGAAGGGUGCAAGCGUUAUCCGGAUUCAUUGGGGUUGAAGGGUGCGUAGGCGGAGCGUUAAGUCAGUGGUGAAACCCUGGAGCUUAACUGUAGACUUGCCAUUGAUACUGGCGCUCUUGAGUGCGCUUGAAGUGGGCGGAAUGUGCCGUGUAGCGGUGAAAUGCUUAGAUAUGGCACAGAACACCAAUUGCGAAGGCAGCUCACUAAGGCGAUACUGACGCUGAGGCACGAAAGCGUGGGGAUCGAACAGGAUUAGAUACCCGGGUAGUCC
rnacentral:rRNA from 1 species